rnacentral:rRNA from 1 species
CAGUAGCCACGGGAAUACGGAGGGUGCAAGCGUUAAUCGGAAUUACUGGGCGUAAAGCGCACGCAGGCGGUUUGUUAAGUCAGAUGUGAAAUCCCCGAGCUUAACUUGGGAACUGCAUUUGAAACUGGCAAGCUAGAGUCUUGUAGAGGGGGGUAGAAUUCCAGGUGUAGCGGUGAAAUGCGUAGAGAUCGGGAGGAACAUCAGUGGCGAAGGCGGCCGUCUGGGACAACACUGACGCUGAAGCACGAAAGCGUGGGGAGCAAACAGGAUUAGAUACCCCGGUAGUCCCUGUCUCUUAUAC